rnacentral:lncRNA from 1 species
AGAGAAGAGAGGGGUGGUAGUAGGUAGUAGUGGAGGUGGUGAGAGCAGAGAGGGGUGGUAGUUGGUAGUAGUGGAGGUGGUGAGAGAAGAGAUGGGUGGUAGUAGGUAGUAGUGGAGGUGGUGAGAGAAGAGAGGGGUGGUAGUAGGUGGUGGUGGAGGUGGUGAGAGAAGAGAGGGGUGGUAGUAGGUAGUAGUGGAGGUGGUGAGAGAAGAGAGGGGUGGUAGUUGGUAGUAGUGGAGGUGGUGAGAGAAGAGAGGGGUGGUAGUCGGUAGCAGUGGAGGUGGUGAGAGAAGAGAGGGGUGGUAGUAGGUAGUAGUGGAGGUGGUGAGAGAAGAGAUGGGUGGUAGUAGGUAGCAGUGGAGGUGGUGAGAGAAGAGAGGGGUGGUAGUUGGUAGCAGUGGAGGUGGUGAGAGAAGAGAGGGGUGGUAGUAGGUAGUAGUGGAGGUGGUGAGAGAAGAGAUGGGUGGUAGUAGGUAGCAGUGGAGGUGGUGAGAGAAGAGAUGGGUGGUAGUAGUGGAGGUGGUGAGAGAAGAGAUGGGUGGUAGUAGGUAGCAGUGGAGGUGGUGAGAGAAGAGAGGGGUGGUAGUUGGUAGCAGUGGAGGUGGUGAGAGAAGAGAUGGGUGGUAGUAGGUAGUAGUGGAGGUGGUGGACUAUGAACUCAGACUAUUGUGAUCCCAAAUAGCACCCCUUUUCCCUGAGUAGUGCACUACUUUUGACCAAGGACUCAUCACACCAAAGGGUAAAUGGAUGUAAUUUACGGGCCAUUUGGAACGCGUACUAGAAUACUAGCAGAUGUCCAGUUGCAAACAGUCUGUAAAUGCCCUGUACUGUGGUGAAUGGAGAGAUAGAGGGAUGGAGAGAUGGAGGG